AUUGAACGCUGGCGGCAGGCCUAACACAUGCAAGUCGAACGGUAACAGGAAGAAGCUUGCUUCUUUGCUGACGAGUGGCGGACGGGUGAGUAAUGUCUGGGAAACUGCCUGAUGGAGGGGGAUAACUACUGGAAACGGUAGCUAAUACCGCAUAACGUCGCAAGACCAAAAAGGGGGACCUUCGGGCCUCUUGCCAUCGGAUGUGCCCAGAUGGGAUUAGCUAGUAGGUGGGGUAACGGCUCACCUAGGCGACGAUCCCUAGCUGGUCUGAGAGGAUGACCAGCCACACUGGAACUGAGACACGGUCCAGACCCCUACGGGAGGCAGCAGUGGGGAAUAUUGCACAAUGGGCGCAAGCCUGAUGCAGCCAUGCCGCGUGUAUGAAGAAGGCCUUCGGGUUGUAAAGUACUUUCAGCGGGGAGGAAGGGAGUAAAGUUAAUACCUUUGCUCAUUGACGUUACCCGCAGAAGAAGCACCGGCUAACUCCGUG
rnacentral:rRNA from 1 species